rnacentral:rRNA from 1 species
ACGGAGGGUGCAAGCGUUGUUCGGAAUUACUGGGCGUAAAGCGCGUGUAGGCGGUCCGAUAAGUCGAGUGUGAAAGCCCGAGGCCCAACCUCGGAAGUGCAUUCGAAACUGUCGGGCUUGAGUACGGGAGAGGGAAGUGGAAUUCCUGGUGUAGAGGUGAAAUUCGUAGAUAUCAGGAGGAACACCGGUGGCGAAGGCGGCUUCCUGGACCGAUACUGACGCUGAGACGCGAAAGCGUGGGGAGCAAACAGGAUUAGAUACCCUGGUAGUCCACGCCGUAAACGGUGAGCACUAGGUGUAGCGGGUAUUGACCCCUGCUGUGCCGCAGCUAACGCAUUAAGUGCUCCGCCUGGGGAGUACGGCCGCAAGGUUA